rnacentral:rRNA from 1 species
GACGAACGCUGGCGGCGUGCUUAACACAUGCAAGUCGAACGGAAAGGCCUUUUCGGUGGUACUCGAGUGGCGAACGGGUGAGUAACACGUGGGUGAUCUGCCCUGCACUCUGGGAUAAGCCUGGGAAACUGGGUCUAAUACCGGAUAGGACCGCACUUUAGUGUGUGUGGUGGAAAGUUUUUUCGGUGUAGGAUGAGCCCGCGGCCUAUCAGCUUGUUGGUGGGGUAAUGGCCUACCAAGGCGGCGACUGGUAGCCGGACUGAGAGGUUGGUCGGCCACAUUGGGACUGGGAUACGGCCCAGACUCCUACGGGAGGCAGCAGUGGGGAAUAUUGCACAAUGGGCGCAAGCCUGAUGCAGCGACGCCGCGUGGGGGAUGACGGCCUUCGGGUUGUAAACUCCUUUCGCCAGGGACGAAGCGUUUUGUGACGGUACCUGGAGAAGAAGCACCGGCUAACUACGUG